UUUCUCUGUGUUCAAGGUGUGGACGGCUCAUUGACGUUUUUCGAACAAGAGAACUUUGCGUUCACGCGAUACCUGCCAGAGUUUUUGCUGCCCGGUCCUCUUGCAUACGUUGCGAAAACGGACUCCCUCGUUACCGUAAACACGGCUUUCCAUUUGGAAAAUUUUAGGUUUCAGACACUGGCUGUUGCUACUGAGGCGUCGAAAAAACCGACAGACGACGCCGAGGGGCUUCAGAAGGGGAAACGCGUUGUUGCGGACUGGUCUGUUUCAAUCGGAGAGGAGGCCAUUGA
rnacentral:lncRNA from 1 species